GACGAACGCUGGCGGCGUGCCUAAUACAUGCAAGUAGAACGCUGAAGGAGGAGCUUGCUUCUCUGGAUGAGUUGCGAACGGGUGAGUAACGCGUAGGUAACCUGCCUGGUAGCGGGGGAUAACUAUUGGAAACGAUAGCUAAUACCGCAUAAUAGUAGCUGUUGCAUGACAUUUGCUUAAAAGGUGCAGUUGCAUCAGUAGCAGAUGGACCUGCGUUGUAUUAGCUAGUUGGUGGGGUAACGGCUCACCAAGGCGACGAUACAUAGCCGACCUGAGAGGGGGAUCGGCCACACUGGGACUGAGACACGGCCCAGACGCCUACGGGAGGCAGCAGUAGGGAAUCUUCGGCAAUGGACGGAAGUCUGACCGAGCAACGCCGCGUGAGUGAAGAAGGUUUUCGGAUCGUAAAGCUCUGUUGUAAGAGAAGAACGAGUGUGAGAGUGGAAAGUUCACACUGUGACGGUAUCUUACCAGAAAGGGACGGCUAACUACGUG
rnacentral:rRNA from 1 species